CGAGAGGCCCAAACGUUUAUCCGGUAUUUACUGGGCUUAAAGAGUUCGUAGGCGGCGCAGAAAGUAGGGUGUGAAAGCCCUCGGCUCAACCGAGGAAUUGCGCUCUAAACUACUGUGCUCGAGGGACCUAGAGGUGAGCAGAACUGAUGGUGGAGCGGUGAAAUGCGUUGAUAUCAUCAGGAAUACCGGAGGCGAAGGCGGCUCACUGGGGGUCUUCUGACGCUGAGGAACGAAAGCCAGGGGAGCGAACGGGAUUAGAUACCCCGGUAGUCCUGGCCGUAAACGAUGAGCACUAGGCCGGAGGGCUGCACAGCCUUUCGGCCGUAGCUAAAGUGUUAAGUGCUCCGCCUGGGGAGUAUGGUCGCAAGGCUG
rnacentral:rRNA from 1 species